CCUACGGGAGGCAGCAGUGGGGAAUAUUGCACAAUGGGGGAAACCCUGAUGCAGCGACGCCGCGUGGGUGACGAAGUAUUUCGGUAUGUAAAGCCCUAUCAGCAGGGAAGAAGAUGACAGUACCUGACCAAGAAGCCCCGGCUAACUACGUGCCAGCAGCCGCGGUAAUACGUAGGGGGCAAGCGUUAUCCGGAUUUACUGGGUGUAAAGGGAGCGUAGGUGGCAUGGCAAGCCAGAAGUGAAAACCCGGGGCUUAACCCCGCGGAUUGCUUUUGGAACUGUCAGGCUGGAGUGCAGGAGGGGCAGGCGGAAGUCCUGGUGUAGCGGUGAAAUGCGUGGAUAUCAGGAGGAACACCGGUGGCGAAGGCGGCCUGCUGGACUGUAACUGACACUGAGGCUCGAAAGCGUGGGGAGCAAACAGGAUUAGAUACCCCAGUAGUC
rnacentral:rRNA from 1 species